UACGUAGGGGGCGAGCGUUGUCCGGAUUUAUUGGGCGUAAAGAGCUCGUAGGCGGUUUGUCGCGUCUGCUGUGAAAACCCGAGGCUCAACCUCGGGCCUGCAGUGGGUACGGGCAGACUAGAGUGCGGUAGGGGAGAUUGGAAUUCCUGGUGUAGCGGUGGAAUGCGCAGAUAUCAGGAGGAACACCGGUGGCGAAGGCGGGUCUCUGGGCCGAUACUGACGCUGAGGAGCGAAAGCGUGGGGAGCAAACAGG
rnacentral:rRNA from 1 species